rnacentral:snRNA from 1 species
UCACUUAACCUGGCAGGGAAGAUGGUUUUCCCAGAGUGACACUUAUGCAUUGCACUCUGGAUGUGCCGAUCCCUGAGAUUUCCCCAAAUGUGGGAAACUUGGCAGCAUAAUUUGUGGUAGUGAGGGACUGUGUUUGCACUUUCCUCUG